rnacentral:rRNA from 1 species
UAGGGAAUCUUCGGCAAUGGGGGCAACCCUGACCGAGCAACGCCGCGUGAGUGAAGAAGGUUUUCGGAUCGUAAAGCUCUGUUGUAAGUCAAGAACGAGUGUGAGAGUGGAAAGUUCACACUGUGACGGUAGCUUACCAGAAAGGGACGGCUAACUACGUGCCAGCAGCCGCGGUAAUACGUAGGUCCCGAGCGUUGUCCGGAUUUAUUGGGCGUAAAGCGAGCGCAGGCGGUUUGAUAAGUCUGAAGUUAAAGGCUGUGGCUUAACCAUAGUACGCUUUGGAAACUGUUUAACUUGAGUGCAAGAGGGGAGAGUGGAAUUCCAUGUGUAACGGUGAAAUGCGUAGAUAUAUGGAGGAACACCGGUGGCGAAAGCGGCUCUCUGGCUUGUAACUGACGCUGAGGCUCGAAAGCGUGGGGAGCAAACAGGAUUAGAUACCCUGGUAGUCCACGCCGUAAACGAUGAGUGCUAGGUGUUAGACCCUUUCCGGGGUUUAGUGCCGCAGCUAACGCAUUAAGCACUCCGCCUGGGGAGUACGACCGCAAGGUUG